rnacentral:tRNA from 1 species
GUCCCUGUAGUUUAAUGGAUAGAACAAGAACCUCCUAAGUUCUAAAUGGUGGUUCGAUUCCACCCGGGGACGCCA